GGGGGAAAGGACUUCAUUUACCGUCAGGUAGCAGGGCUGAGAACUUCCAUUCAACCGCUGCCAGUGACGUCUGAGCCGCCCUCCUACGCCAGGGCUGCGGAGCCAAUGAGGCUGAGGUGAAGGAGAGCCAAGAAGAGGGCCUGGAAUGUAUAAUCAAACCUGAAGCGACCGGAGCCAAGUGGAGAUCAGGAAACCAGUACCAAGGUAUGCUCAAGCUUACAAAAUUAACAGGACCGAAUGGAGACCAGAACCCAAUUUUCAGGUUCCUAGCUGAAGAUAUGGUGUUGCAGUGAUCUUCAAAUACUUUUUUGGCAUGUGCUUAUCAGAUUCCCAGCUGAGGGAGCCAGUGACCUAAUUCUGCUCAGUACUAAUGCAACACCGGAGUGAAUGCAGAAUAUCUUGGUAUUAGCCUUGCUGGGAUUGCAGAACCCCAAAGUCAUUCUCCUGACAAAGAGAUGCCACCAGAAUCAAACAGGCCACAUGUUCGUGUACCUGAAGGUGAAUCCUCUGUAAGAACUCCUGCAGAGUCUUGGGUUUUUCCUUUCCACUCCUUC